rnacentral:lncRNA from 1 species
CCAGAGUCCAACACUAGCAGCCAUGGUCCAGCUUCAACACUGCCACGAAUGACCUCUCACUCCAACUCCAACACAGAACAAGAAGAUGGGGAACUGAAGAGGGACAGGAAAGUGCGCCCAUUUUCUAUGUUCGAGCCAACCGAGGUCCCGCCCGCCUCACUCCGCAAAAACCAGAGCAGUGAUGACCUGGUCAGAGAUGCACAGUCUGCUGCCAAGCCACCAGUUAAGGUGCCUCCUCCUGUCCCCACCAAACCUAAAGGCCCCUCUGUCGUUCCCUAUGGAAAAUCAGCUCUCAACACAGGCACCUUCCCUAAAGCCAAGCCCCAUAGCCAGCAGCCCCAG